rnacentral:rRNA from 1 species
GGACUACAGGGGUUUCUAAUCCUGUUUGAUCCCCUUGCUUUCGCGCCUCAGCGUCAGGAAUAAGCUAGAAAACCGCCUUCGCCACCGGUGUUCUUCCACAUAUCUACGCAUUUCACCGCUACUUGUGGAAUUCCGUUUUCUCCGCCUACCCUCUAGGCCUCCAGUUUCGGAUGCAGUUCUAGGGUUGAGCCCUAGGAUUUCACAUCCGACUUGAAGACCAGCCUACGCGCCCUAUACGCCCAAUAAUUCCGAUUAAUGCUUGCACCCCACGUAUUACCGCGGCUGCUGGCAC